AUUGAACGCUGGCGGCAUGCCUUACACAUGCAAGUCGAACGGCAGUACGGACUGCGGUCUGGUGGCGAGUGGCGAACGGGUGAGUAAUAUAUCGGAACAUACCUUGUAGUGGGGGAUAACUAUCCGAAAGGAUAGCUAAUACCGCAUACGCUCUAAGGAGGAAAGUGGGGGCUCUUAGGACCUCAUGCUAUAAGAGUGGCCGAUAUCUGAUUAGCUAGUUGGUGAGGUAAAGGCUCACCAAGGCGACGAUCAGUAGCUGGUCUGAGAGGACGACCAGCCACACUGGAACUGAGACACGGUCCAGACUCCUACGGGAGGCAGCAGUGGGGAAUUUUGGACAAUGGGGGCAACCCUGAUCCAGCAAUGCCGCGUGAGUGAAGAAGGCCUUCGGGUUGUAAAGCUCUUUUGUCAGGGAAGAAACGGUUGUGGCUAAUAUCCAUGGCUAAUGACGGUACCUGAAGAAUAAGCACCGGCUAACUACGUGCCAGCCGCCGCGGUAA
rnacentral:rRNA from 1 species